UACGGGGGGAGCAAGCGUUGUUCGGAUUUACUGGGCGUAAAGGGCGCGUAGGCGGCCACCGCAAGUCGACUGUGAAAUCUCCGGGCUUAACCCGGAAAGGUCAGCCGAUACUGCGGGGCUAGAGUGCAGAAGGGGCAACUGGAAUUCUCGGUGUAGCGGUGAAAUGCGUAGAUAUUGGAAAGACCACCAAUGGCGAAGGCACUCUACUGGGCCACAACUGACACUGAGAGACGAAAGCUAGGGGAGCAAAUGGG
rnacentral:rRNA from 1 species